rnacentral:rRNA from 1 species
CACGCAAACAUCCAUAAGAUAUUAAACAAACCAUUUGACAAACCAAGUAGAUGCGAUCGAACAGCGAACAAUCACACAAAGUACCGCAAGGGAAUACACUUAAGCAUAAAAAAGCAAAGACAAAUCCUUGUACCUUUCGCAUCAUGGUUUAGCAAGCAAACCGAGGGCAAGAAGAAUCAAAGCUCACAUCCCCGAAACCAGAUGAGCUACUUUCAAGCAGCCUACCGGGCACACCCUUCUCUGUGGCAAAAGAGUGGGAAGACUUAAAAGUAGAAGUGAAACGCUUACCGAAUCUGGAGAUAGCUGGCUACCUAAAAAAGAAUUUUAGUUCCACUUUAGACCCAAACAUAUAUAAUUAUAAUCUAAAGACAAUCAAUAGGGGUACAGCUCUAUUGAAACAGGAAACAACCUGAAUUUGAGAAAAAACGCCACACACCCAACCAGUGGGCCUUAAAGCAGCCACCAAAUAAAAUAUCGUUAAAGAAUUACACUAAAUAAUCCCAGAACCAAUUAAAAACUCCAAACUAACUAAAGGUGAACCCAUAGUAAUGGGUACCACCAUGCUAAAACUAAUAAUAAGACAACCUCUCUACACGCACCCAUCCACUAGAAACGGAAAACCCACUAGCCAUUAACAGACCACAAUAGGAAUCAACCAAACAAUAUCCACCUUUAUACAAACUGUGACACCAACACAGGUGCGUUAAAAAGAAAGAUCAACCAUUAUAAAAGGAACUCGGCAACCAAGAACCCCAACUGUUUAACAAAAACAUAACCUUUAGCCAAACAAAUAUUAAAGGCAACGCCUGCCCAGUGAACAAUUAAACGGCCGCGGUACCCUAACCGUGCAAAGGUAGCAAAAUCAUGAGACAGAC